rnacentral:rRNA from 1 species
UCCGCUUGAUCCUGGCGGACCCAACUGCUGUCGGGGUGAGACUAAGCCAUGCAAGUUGCGCGUCUUCUAGCUAUGUUGAAGACGCAGCGUACGGCUCAGUAACAUGUGGCUAACUUACCCUCGGGACUGGAAUAACCCCGGGAAACUGGGGGUAAUUCUUGAUAGGUAGAGAGGCCUGGAAUGGUUCUUUGUUGAAAAGGGGUCAAACACAUGCUGUUUGAUCUUGCCCGAGGAUAGGGCCGCACCCGAUCAGGUUGCUGGUGAGGUAAUGGCUCACCAGGCCUAUAACCGGUACGGGCCGUGAGAGCGGGAGCCCGGAGAUGGGCACUGAGAUAAGGGCCCAGGUCCUACGGGACGCAGCAGGCGCGAAAACUCCGCAAUGCGCGGAAGCGUGACGGGGUCACCCCGAGUGCCAUCCGCUGAGGGUGGCUUUUGCCCGGUUUAAUGAGCCGGGUGAAUAAGGGGAGGGCAAGCCUGGUGUCAGCCGCCGCGGUAAUACCAGCUCCCCGAGUGGUUGGGAUGAUUAUUGGGUUUAAAGCGUUCGUAGCCGGUCGGAAAAGUCCUCCGUUAAAUCCAACGAUCCAAUCGUUGGGCUGCGGGGAAUACUCUUCGGCUUGGGGGCGGGGGAGGUCGACGGUAGUCCCGGGGUAGGGGCGAAAUCCUAUAAUCCCGGGAGGACCACCAGUGGCGUAGGCGGUCGACUAAAACGCGCCCGACGGUGAGGGACGAAAGCUGGGGGAGCGAACGGGAUUAGAUACCCCGGUAGUCCCAGCUGUAAACGAUGCAGGCUAGGUGUUGGGACGGCCACGAGCCGUCUCAGUGCCGCAGGGUAACCAUUAAGCCUGCCACCUGGGAAGUACGGCCGCAAGGCUGAAACUUAAAGGAAUUGGCGGGGGAGCACCACAAGGGGUGAAGCUUGCGGUUUAAUUGGAGUCAACACCGGGAACCUUACCAGGAGCGACAGUUGGAUGAAGGUCAGAUUGAAGGUCUUACCGGACUAGCUGAGAGGAGGUGCAUGGCCGUCGCCAGUUCGUGCCGUGAGGUGUCCUCUUAAGUGAGACAACGAACGAGACCCGUGCCACCAGUUGCCAGCGGUUUCCUUCGGGAUUCCGGGCACACUGAUGGGACUGCCUCCGCUAAGGAGGAGGAAGGAGCGGGCCACGGCAGGUCAGUAUGCCCCAAAUCUCCUGGGCCACACGCGAGCUGCAAUGGCUGGUACAAUGGGAUCUGACCUCGAAAGAGGGAAGCAAUCUUCAAAACCAGCCUCAGUUGGGAUCGAGGGCUGAAACCCGCCCUCGUGAACAUGGAAUCCCUAGUAACCGCGUGUCAUCAUCGCGCGGUGAAUACGUCCCUGCUCCUUGCACACACCGCCCGUCGCUCCAUCCGAGUUUGGUCUGGGCGAGGCGUGAUCGUCUUGGUCACGUCGAGCCUAAGCUAGGCAAGGGGGGAGAAGUCGUAACAAGGUG